rfam:Pantoea ananatis LMG 20103, complete genome.
GAAUUUGAUUAACGCUCGUUUAUGACGAGCCUUACGGAAG